rnacentral:lncRNA from 1 species
UACUGGUCCCUGGGAUUCCAGCUGUGUCGCUAUGGAUAUGAGAAUGAUGCUGAGAUCGCCAACUUGUAUGAUGAGAUGGUGGCUAAGCAGAUCCCCUAUGAUGUGCAGUACUCAGACAUUGACUACAUGGAGAGGCAGCUGGACUUCAAGCUCAACCCUAAGUUCUCUGGGUUUCCAGACCUGAUCAAUCGCAUGAAGGACAAUGGGAUGCGGGUCAUCCUCAUUCUGGACCCAGCCAUUUCUGGCAAUGAGACAGAGCCCUAUCCUGCCUUCACCAGGGGAGUGGAGAAUGACGUCUUCAUCAGAUAUCCCAAUAAUGGAGACAUUGUCUGGGGAAAGGUCUGGCCUGAUUACCCUAAUAUUG